rnacentral:rRNA from 1 species
AUGCAGUUCAUUCUAGAUAGAGUCAGAGCUCGGCUGGCAGGCUGGAAAGGACAUCUCUUGUCAAUUGCAGGGAGGAGAGUUCUCGUCAGAAGUGUGUUAAGUGCACUACCAACCUUCGCCCUGCCCGUUCUGAAGGUGCCAAAGAAGAUUCUGGCCAAAGUGGACAAGAUCAGAUGGCGUUUCCUGUGGGCUCAAGAUGAAGAGAUCAGUGACGGGAAGUGCAAAGUAAGCUGGCCGGUGGUGUGCACUCCGAUCGACAAGGGUGGCCUCGGCAUCUCAAACCUGCAUCGAUUCAGCCGUGCACUCAGGCUUAGGUGGCUCUGGUUCUCUUGGAUCACACCCAACAGACCCUGGGUUGGGAUGCAGCUACCAUGUGACCAAGGAGACAAAGACCUUUUCAAUGCUUCAACAACGGUGGCACUGGGAGAUGGGAAGACGGCGAGCUUCUGGGACAGCUCCUGGACAGGUGUUGGAGCACUAAAAUUGGAAUUCCCCGACCUCCACAAACACUCAAGGAGAAAGAAUAGGACAGUACAUGCAGCAAUCCUCAAUGACAAUUGGAUCCAGGACCUUGCCCAUGGAAACACACAACAUCUAUGGCCAGAAGUGAUCCGGCUGAACAGAUGGCUAAUCUCGAGAAACCUGAAUCUAAAUGAGCAGCUGCGAGACACCAUUCAGUGGAAGCACACGGCCUCGCGGUCUUUCUCCACCAGUUCGGCAUACAACUGCCAAUUCCAAGGAAUGAUCACGACCAGCUUCAGAAAGAUGCCUUGGCAAGCAUGGGCACCGGCCAUUGUUGAGGAAAUCGUUAACUGGUAG